CGGGACGUAGCGCAGCCUGGUAGCGCACCUGAAUGGGGUUCAGGGGGUCGCGAGUUCGAAUCUCGCCGUCCCGACCA
rnacentral:tRNA from 2 species